rnacentral:rRNA from 1 species
CUGUAAACGAUGGAUACUAGGUGUAGUGGGUAUCGACCCCUGCUGUACCGUAGCUAACGCGUUAAGUAUCCCGCCUGGGGAGUACGCACGCAAGUGUGAAACUCAAAGGAAUUGACGGGGGCCCGCACAAGCGGUGGAGGAUGUGGUUUAAUUCGACGCAACGCGAAGAACCUUACCAGGGCUUGACAUGUAGAGAACCGCUGUGAAAGCAGUGGGUGCCGCAAGGAGCUCUAACACAGGUGG